rnacentral:rRNA from 1 species
AAACCCGGAAAGCUUUCGGGUGAGUACUAGUGGCGCACGGGUGAGGAACGCGUGGAUAAUCUGCCAAAGAGUGGGGGAUAACUAGUCGAAAGAUUAGCUAAUACCGCAUAAGACCACAGGAGCUGCGGCUCAAGGGGUCAAAGGUUUUUCGCUCUAAGAUAAGUCCGCGUAAGAUUAGCUAGUUGGUGAGGUAACGGCUCACCAAGGCGACGAUCUUUAACUGGUCUGAGAGGAUGAUCAGUCACACUGGAACUGAGACACGGUCCAGACUCCUACGGGAGGCAGCAGUAGGGAAUAUUGCACAAUGGAGGAAACUCUGAUGCAGCGACGCCGCGUGAGUGAUGAAGGCCUUCGGGUCGAAAAGCUCUGUCGUAGGGGAAUAACACAAUGAAUGUACCCUGUAAGAAAGGAUCGGCUAACUUCGUGCCAGCAGCCGCGGUAAGACGAGGGAUCCUAGCGUUGUUCGGAAUUAUUGGGCGUAAAGCGGAUGUAGGUGGCUUUGUAAGUCAGAUGUGAAAGCCCAGGGCUCAACCCUGGAAGAGCAUUUGAUACUGCGAAGCUUGAGUGUCGGAGAGGUUACUAGAAUUGUUGGUGUAGUGGAGAAAUACGUAGAUAUCAACAGGAAUACCGGAGGCGAAGGCGGGUAACUGGCCGAACACUGACACUGAGAUCCGAAAGCGUGGGGAUCAAACAGGAUUAGAUACCCUGGUAGUCCACGCCGUAAACGAUGGAUACUUGUUGUUCGAGGUAUUGACGGGUUCAGUGACGAUGCUAACGCCU